rnacentral:lncRNA from 1 species
AAAGACCAUCAUGGCACUUUAUCGAAAUUGAUCAAAGUAUUGAUAACAAAGGAACCUUGAAAGAGUUCAGAGGUAAAUAUCUGGAGAGCCUAAAGAAAUAAAGACACACCUAGAGUAGGUAUGUCGAAAUUGCUCAAUACUAUUCUUAUGAUUUUCUCUUCUUCUAGUUGAGCUACAGACUCUAGUAUAGAGUCGAUGGGAAGG